rnacentral:rRNA from 1 species
AUUGAACGCUGGCGGCAGGCCUAACACAUGCAAGUCGAGCGGUAGCACAAGAGAGCUUGCUCUCUGGGUGACGAGCGGCGGACGGGUGAGUAAUGUCUGGGAAACUGCCUGAUGGAGGGGGAUAACUACUGGAAACGGUAGCUAAUACCGCAUAACGUCUUCGGACCAAAGUGGGGGACCUUCGGGCCUCACGCCAUCAGAUGUGCCCAGAUGGGAUUAGCUAGUAGGUGGGGUAAUGGCUCACCUAGGCGACGAUCCCUAGCUGGUCUGAGAGGAUGACCAGCCACACUGGAACUGAGACACGGUCCAGACUCCUACGGGAGGCAGCAGUGGGGAAUAUUGCACAAUGGGCGCAAGCCUGAUGCAGCCAUGCCGCGUGUGUGAAGAAGGCCUUCGGGUUGUAAAGCACUUUCAGCGAGGAGGAAGGGUGGUGUGUUAAUAGCACAUCACAUUGACGUUACUCGCAGAAGAAGCACCGGCUAACUCCGUGCCAGCAGCCGCGGUAAUACGGAGGGUGCAAGCGUUAAUCGGAAUUACUGGGCGUAAAGCGCACGCAGGCGGUUUGUUAAGUCAGAUGUGAAAUCCCCGCGCUUAACGUGGGAACUGCAUUUGAAACUGG